CCAUCAGCCACCUGGCUCGCCAUUUCUGUUAGUGCCUGAGCUUCCAGUUCCUGCCCCUCCUCACCUAUGAAGGGAAAAUUGAAGGAAUCAUGUGUCUGCUUCAGGACUUUGGACAAGACUCACUCUCAGGAAAGGGCCUUGGGGGCAGUGCUUGGAGAUAAAGAUAAAGCAGCUGGGAGAUGACCUUAAAUAAAGUAUGCAAAUUAAGUAUUCGGAUUUAGGAACCCACCCCAGACUCUAGAGUUUCACCAGUCCUACUCCAAUCAACACAACUAUUCCAAGAAUGGGACAGGGGCACCAAGAGCCAUUGAAGACAAAAGGGACGUGUGAGACGGGUACCAGACCUCAGGGAAUUCCUCCUGUAGUGCUCCACCAGAUUCUCCAGGCUCUGAAACAUUUGACUCUGCUCCAAAUAGAAACUUCCAUUCUGAUUCUGAUGGACCUUAAUGUGUUUCACUUCCUUGUCAC